AGGUAAUUUAAUUGAAUGGUAAUCUCAUUCUGCUUUCUUAAAUACAAACGAUUAUGGAGAAUGGCGGUCAAUGACUCAUCCGAUAAGGUCACACUUGGGAGACGGUACAGGGCCUAUGAAGAUACACCAUGUGGGCACACUCUAUUUUGCGAAGCAUCGCAAGAAUUUAUUCCCACUCCAAAGAAAGCAUGUCAUUAACUGCUUAGCCAUUAACUCUUGGGA
rnacentral:lncRNA from 1 species